CCUACGGGGUGCAGCAGUGAGGAAUAUUGGUCAAUGGGCGGGAGCCUGAACCAGCCAAGUCGCGUGAGGGAAGACGGUCCUAUGGAUUGUAAACCUCUUUAGGCGGGGAGCAAUGCCGGGCACGCGUGCCCGGAGGGAGAGUACCCGCAGAAUAAGCAUCGGCUAACUCCGUGCCAGCAGCCGCGGUAAUACGGAGGAUGCGAGCGUUAUCCGGAUUUAUGGGGUUAAAAGGGUGCGUAGGCGGAUUUUUAAGUCAGCGGUAAAAUGUCCGGGCUCAACCCGGGCCGGCCGUUGAAACUGGGGAUCUUGAGUGGGCGAGAAGUAUGCGGAAUGCGUGGUGUAGCGGUGAAAUGCAUAGAUAUCACGCAGAACUCCGAUUGCGAAGGCAGCAUACCGGCGCCCGACUGACGCUGAGGCACGAAAGCGUGGGGAUCGAACAGGAUUAGAUACCCCAGUAGUC
rnacentral:rRNA from 1 species